CCUACGGGAGGCAGCAGUGAGGAAUAUUGGUCAAUGGGCGAGAGCCUGAACCAGCCAAGUCGCGUGAGGGAAGACGGUCCUAUGGAUUGUAAACCUCUUUUGCCGGGGAGCAAAACGCGGUACGUGUACCGCAUCGAGAGUACCCGGAGAAAAAGCAUCGGCUAACUCCGUGCCAGCAGCCGCGGUAAUACGGAGGAUGCGAGCGUUAUCCGGAUUUAUUGGGUUUAAAGGGUGCGCAGGCGGCGAGUUAAGUCAGCGGUAAAAUUUCGGGGCUCAACCCCGACAAGCCGUUGAAACUGGCGUGCUAGAGUGGGCGAGAAGUAUGCGGAAUGCGUGGUGUAGCGGUGAAAUGCAUAGAUAUCACGCAGAACUCCGAUUGCGAAGGCAGCAUACCGGCGCCCAACUGACGCUCAGGCACGAAAGCGUGGGUAUCGAACAGGAUUAGAUACCCCUGUAGUC
rnacentral:rRNA from 1 species